UACGUAGGGCGCGAGCGUUGUCCGGAAUUAUUGGGCGUAAAGAGCUCGUAGGCGGCCUGUUGCGUCCGCUGUGAAAUCCCGGGGCUUAACCCCGGGCGUGCAGUGGAUACGGGCAGGCUGGAGGCAGGCAGGGGAGAACGGAAUUCCCGGUGUAGCGGUGAAAUGCGCAGAUAUCGGGAGGAACACCGGUGGCGAAGGCGGUUCUCUGGGCCUGUACUGACGCUGAGGAGCGAAAGCGUGGGGAGCGAACAGG
rnacentral:rRNA from 1 species